rnacentral:rRNA from 1 species
AGAGUUUGAUCAUGGCUCAGAACGAACGCUGGCGGCAGGCCUAACACAUGCAAGUCGAGCGCUUCACUUCGGUGAGGAGCGGCGGACGGGUUAGUAACGCGUGGGAAUAUACCCAGUUCUAAGGGAUAGCGACUGGAAACGGUGAGUAAUACCUUAUACGCCCUUCGGGGGAAAGAUUUAUCGGAAUUGGAUUAGCCCGCGUUAGAUUAGAUAGUUGGUGAGGUAACGGCUCACCAAGUCUACGAUCUAUAGCUGGUUUGAGAGGAUGAUCAGCAACACUGGGACUGAGACACGGCCCAGACUCCUACGGGAGGCAGCAGUGGGGAAUCUUGGACAAUGGGCGCAAGCCUGAUCCAGCCAUGCCGCGUGAGUGAUGAAGGCCUUAGGGUCGUAAAACUCUUUCGCCAGGGAUGAUAAUGACAGUACCUGGUAAAGAAACCCCGGCUAACUCCGUGCCAGCAGCCGCGGUAAUACGGAGGGGGUUAGCGUUGUUCGGAAUUACUGGGCGUAAAGCGUACGUAGGCGGAUUAGAAAGCUAGGGGUGAAAUCCCAGGGCUCAACCCUGGAACUGCCUUUAAAACUCCUAGUCUAGAGGUCGAGAGAGGUGAGUGGAAUUCCAAGUGUAGAGGUGAAAUUCGUAGAUAUUUGGAGGAACACCAGUGGCGAAGGCGGCUCACUGGCUCGAUACUGACGCUGAGGUACGAAAGUGUGGGGAGCAAACAGGAUUAGAUACCCUGGUAGUCCACACCGUAAACGAUGAAUGCCAGACGUCAGCAAGCAUGCUUGUUGGUGUCACACCUAACGGAUUAAGCAUUCCGCCUGGGAAGUACGGUCGCAAGAUUAAAACUCAAGAAAUUGACGGGGGCCCGCACAAGCGGU